GACGUAGGAGGCGAGCGUUAUCCGGAUUCACUGGGCGUAAAGCGCAUGUAGGCGGUUGCACAAGUCCGUUGUUAAAGCCCCUGGCUCAACUGGGGGAGGUCAAUGGAGACUGUGCGACUUGAGGGCAAUAGAGGCACGUGGAACUCCCGGUGUAGCGGUGGAAUGCGUAGAGAUCGGGAAGAACACCAGUGGCGAAGGCGACGUGCUGGGUUGCACCUGACGCUGAGAUGCGAAAGUGUGGGGGGCAAACGGG
rnacentral:rRNA from 1 species